rnacentral:rRNA from 1 species
UACGUAGGGUGCGAGCGUUAAUCGGAAUUACUGGGCGUAAAGCGUGCGCAGGCGGCUUUGCAAGACAGGUGUGAAAUCCCCGGGCUCAACCUGGGAACUGCAUUUGUGACUGCAAGGCUAGAGUACGGCAGAGGGGGAUGGAAUUCCGCGUGUAGCAGUGAAAUGCGUAGAUAUGCGGAGGAACACCAAUGGCGAAGGCAAUCCCCUGGGCCUGUACUGACGCUCAUGCACGAAAGCGUGGGGAGCAAACAGG